CUAAAUUCAUGUUUAACUGAGGUCUACAUUAUCUUCCCUGUGUCCUACGAGGUCUAAAAUCUUGUAAUUCACUCUAAUCGUUGGACUUAUUCACCUGGAGGUUAUAUUUUGAGAUGGUACAGUCCCAAAGUUAAUUUUAAGUGUUUUUUAAGGAAAGUGGCAGUAUUUUCCGUUUUUCUACAUUCAUUUAGGAUAAACAGUGAAACAUAACUUA
rnacentral:lncRNA from 1 species